UCCAUUCACAUUCACACUGUCAUUUUAUUUUGGUCUGAAAAAGCUAAAGAAAUCGAAUAUGUUGUUCCUAUUCAAUGUGAGCAUCUGACACAUUCUUCUUCACCUUCUGAAACUUUGAAUCGGUGGUUAUACGCACACGCAUAUAUUGUUGCUUUGACUGUUAUCUUUGAUACCAAGUCAAGUAUUUGGUCGAAUAUUAUUUUUUACUUUUUUUUUGCGGUCAAAUGGCUGCUUCUUCGUCUAGAGGACGAAGUAGCUCGCCAUCGCCAUUUCAUUAUCGUAAACAUCAAAUUCAUUUUCAUCUUCAAAUUCAUUUAUGAAUGGUGGUCG
rnacentral:misc_RNA from 1 species